UACGAAGGGUGCGAGCGUUAUUCGGAAUCACUGGGCGUAAAGGGUGCGUAGACGGUAUGUUAAGUUUGUUGUUAAAGGACUCCUAGCCCUAACAUGGAGGGUUGCGAAUGAAAACUGGGCGUGCUAGAGGGUGAGAGAGAGAAGUGGAAUUCCAUGGAGUAGCGGUAAAAUGCGUGGAUCUCAGGAGGAACACCAAUGGCGAAGGCAGCUUCUUGGCUCAUU
rnacentral:rRNA from 1 species